UAGGGAAUCUUCGGCAAUGGGGGGAACCCUGACCGAGCAACGCCGCGUGAGUGAAGAAGGUUUUCGGAUCGUAAAGCUCUGUUGUUAAGGAAGAACGAGUGUGAGAAUGGAAAGUUCAUACUGUGACGGUACUUAACCAGAAAGGGACGGCUAACUACGUCCCAGCAGCCGCGGUAAUACGAAGGUCCCGAGCGUUGUCCGGAUUUAUUGGGCGUAAAGCGAGCGCAGGCGGUUAGAUAAGUCUGAAGUUAAAGGCAGUGGCUCAACCAUUGUAGGCUUUGGAAACUGUUUAACUUGAGUGCAGAAGGGGAGAGUGGAAUUCCAUGUGUAGCGGUGAAAUGCGUAGAUAUAUGGAGGAACACCGGUGGCGAAAGCGGCUCUCUGGUCUGUAACUGACGCUGAGGCUCGAAAGCGUGGGGAGCGAACAGG
rnacentral:rRNA from 1 species